UACGGAGGGUGCAAGCGUUAUCCGGAAUCACUGGGUUUAAAGGGUACGUAGGCGGCCAUGUAAGUCAGUGGUGAAAUGCUCGAGCUUAACUUGAGACGUGCCAUUGAUACUGUGUGGCUUGAAGGAAGUGGAAGCAGGCGGAAUGCGUCAUGUAGCGGUGAAAUGCUUAGAUAUGACGUAGAACACCGAUUGCGAAGGCAGCUUGCUAUACUUAUCUUGACGCUGAGGUACGAAAGCGUGGGUAGCGAACAGG
rnacentral:rRNA from 1 species